CUGGGGUGUAAUUCUGCUAUCAGGGGAGAAUAUGUCCAUUAUAUGGCGCUAUAUGGCGGCACACAGUAUACGUCUAGGAGAAGUCCAGUCAGACUAAUACAAGGAGACGGCGAGCCGGCGAGAAGUCUAGAGAAACAUCUGGAAAAUGUCGAAUUGUUCUCAUCCCAGAAGGAACCAUAAAGAAUCGUAAACUGGACGGAGAGGACGCUGCCAGACAUCUUCUCUAUUAGAAUGUAUAGAGCCAGGACGUUCCCGGGAAUCACAGAAAUGUCCCUGGUCUGAAGAAGCCGCCACAGAAUUGCGCAAGGAAUGGUAACCCUCAGAAGACCGCGCCGCCACCCAAGGGAAACACUCCGCGCCUCCUUGUAACAUCUGAAGAGAGUCAAUAAUCGGGCACUUGACUCUCCCAGCGAGCGAGGAGGACUGGAAUUCCACCGCCAGAUACUCACUGUGGGAUAUUGCAAAACACGAACUAGAGAUAUCAGCAACACAGCGAGAUACGGCAAUAAUAGUGCAGCCACAUAAAAUAAAAAAGUUAU